ensembl:lncRNA
CAACAGUGGUUUCCUCCCUUGCCCGGUGCCUCUGGAGAAGCCCUCCCAGCUCUUUUCACAGGAAGUGCUCUUGCAGUCCAGGCUGCUAAGGCGAGCGGGACUGAGGGGAGACACUUAGGUAAAAGAGCUGAUGUGCUAGCACAAGAAAACUCAUGAAAGAAUCAGUCCCUUUUUCUACCAAAACACACAUGUCUAUAUGCUGCUGCCCCUUGAUGUCCUGAACCAGCUGAGGAUCUGGGGAUGCAAUGAGCGCAGCAGAGCAGAAAGGAGAAAAGAGCCAGAGCCUUUAACAGUGUCUCUCAGCCUCUGAAAAUCACCUUCUUGGAUGUCUUGCUAAUUGAGACACUAAUUACUUUUAAGCCAGAGAAACAGGAUCACAUGGCUUUUAUAUGACAAAGAUAGGGUUCUGUCAGACUCCAAAACCUGAGCUUCUGAUCAACAACAAUCUGCGGCUGUUGUGUUGCAAAAGAUGAAACAGGAUACUCACUGUGGAAGAUGCUUGGAGAAUGGAAAGCAUUUGUUCACUUACUCAUUCUUUCAAACAUUCAACAGGGAACCAAUUGUGCCUGUGCCUGAACGCAAGCUGGGGCUAGGUUUAAGGGACAUUCGCUUGGACAACCAGAGGCCCUGUGAGCCAACGAGAGCUGAAUACCUUCCUGAUGACAUUAUCAGAUCCUGAGGCAAGGGAGAGAUCAACCUGUGGAAGAUGCUCAGGAAAAAGUUGGCCGAAAUGGGCAAGUAGAUUGAGAAUGAAAGAUGAAGGGUGGACCACAGAAAGAUAACUACAAACCCAGAAAGCAUGAGGCUGCUUGACACAGCAGGACACAAAACCUGGACCCGAGAUGAAACUCAUAUUAACAAAUCAUGAUUACGUAAUAUUGCUGACAGGAAAGUCACAGUAGUCCUCAGCACCACAGCUUGAAUGAGAGACUGCCUUGCUACUCUAAUUAAUGAAAUGAAGGAUUAAUUUAUAAAUCAAACACUCAUAUUAAAAAUUCAGAGGCCGGCAAUCAAUAUUCUUCUGCUCAUGCUACAGUCAUCUAAUUUUCUGUAAUAAAUGACAUUAGAAGAUGAGUAUUGGUAAACUAAUAGAACAUUCCAUUGAAAUACUUCUCAAGAGCGCUUGCCAUCUUGCAUGGCUCAUUGACGGAUGAUAUUAAUACAAGCCGUGGGUGGAUCCAGAGGACAGUACAGUAAUUGACUCCUCAUUGAGCGGUGGAGAGCUUCCACUUGAGUAGAAUGGUGCCUGAGCCAUUUAGAGAAUCUGAACUAGAGACAUUUAGAGAAUUAGUAAAUGUGUAGCAAUAUCUGCCUUUCUUUUUAAGACAAAAUGGGUCAGGUCUUGCCUCUGAAGCCUGGGACCAGUGUUGACGUUGGCCGAGCCGAACCGAUGCUAUCUCCCAGGAUUCUGAAUCUUAAGGCCAUGAAGUCAGGACAGGAGGAAGGUGCAUUAUCACAGCAACCACAUUGCCCCUGCCACCUGGCUCUUCAGAAAGGCCUUGGUUCUCACCCACCUCCCAAGUUUGGUUUCCAAGCCACCUUUCAUUCGAAGAACUCGGAUGUCCUUCUAAGAAAUUCCUUUAUGCUGAAAAUGGCCAGAGUCCGUCUCUCACUGGCAACCUGGACUUUUGACUGAGACAUAAAUAGCCUGAGGGAAGAAGUAAGUUGUGCAUUAAUCACAUUUCCUGUUCCAGUUAGGCUCUGUGUGUAAGCCAGCCGCCGUGUUGUGAGAACAGUCAAGCAGCCUUAUGAGAGGUCUUCAAGGUGAAGAACUGAAGUGUCAUGCCAACCACCAGCACAAAUGGGGCAGCCAUGCCAGUGAGCCAUCUCGGAAUCGGAUCUCCCAGGCCCCCUUCAAAAGACUGCAGUAUGGUGAGGGACCGUGACCCAGAACCACGGAAGUCACUCCUGAAUUCCUCUUCCAAGGCGGCGAGCCUGGCAGAAGUGACUUUUCGUGACCGGAAGAGUGGGUCAGAGGAAGGAGGAGAGUGCGGCAGCAAGCAGCGGUGCUCACCAGGCAUCCCCUACAUUACCCAGCUUGCCUUGCAGGUAGGUUAGAGCCAUGUAACCAGUUCUGACCAUCAGACAGGGAGAGAAAGUGACCUUUGACACUUCCAGGCUGAGUCAGCAAAGUGCCAGAUGCCUCAUCCAACCGUCCCUUUGCACGGUGACCUUAGAGGUCACUUCUCUAGAUGGAGAAGGACCACCCAUCCCACACUGCACCUCGCAGGAGUGGGACAUACACUUCAGUGCAUUUAAUGACUGAAAUUUGUGGGUUAGUUUAUUAUCACCACAUACCCUAACCGAGCAUGAUAAUCCGAUAGGAAAGAGUGUUCCAUGCAGGGAAAACAGAAAGUGGGAAGGCAAGAGAACUUGGAGGAAUCGAAUACUCUCUUUCCUGGAACACGAGCACCAAGGACUGGUGACAUGAGAUGAAGCUAAAGAGCUGGGGGUGGCUUCCAGGGCCCCACAGGCCGUUAGGAAGCAUGGGUUGCCAAGGAUUGGAAGCAGAGUAGAUCAGGUGACAGACGCUGGAGACUCAAAGUUCUGAGAGUAGCAAUACGUGCAGUCUGUGUGGGGGACGAGAGGAAGAGAGCCAGGUCAAAGUCACCUCCACAGUCUUGAGCUUGAGACACCAGGAUAAUGGCGGUAUGUUCAACAGGAGUGGGAAAAUCCAGAGAGAACCUGGUCUGUGGAGGACGCUGAUGGGUCUGCCUUGGGACACG